rnacentral:rRNA from 1 species
CAAUAGCGUAUAUUAAAGUUGUUGCAGUUAAAAAGCUCGUAGUUGGAUUUCUGGUGGGAGCGAUCGGUCUGGCGCUUAGCGCGAGUACUUGCAUCGUCUCCGGCCAUCCUUGGGGAGAGUCUGUCUGGCAUUAGGUUGUCGGGCAGAGGAUCCUCAUCGUUUACUGUGAAAAAAUUAGAGUGUUCAAAGCAGGCUUAUGCCGUUGAAUAUAUUAGCAUGGAAUAAUAAGAUAGGACUUUGGUACUAUUUUGUUGGUUUGCGCACCAAAGUAAUGAUUAAUAGGGACAGUUGGGGGUAUUCGUAUUCCGUUGUCAGAGGUGAAAUUCUUGGAUUUACGGAAGACGAACUACUGCGAAAGCAUUAACCAAGGAUGUUUUCAUUAA